rnacentral:rRNA from 1 species
UACGGGGGGAGCAAGCGUUGUUCGGAUUUACUGGGCGUAAAGGGCGCGUAGGCGGCCACCGCAAGUCGACUGUGAAAUCUCCAGGCUUAACCCGGAAAGGUCAGCCGAUACCGCGGGGCUAGAGUGCAGAAGGGGCAACUGGAAUUCUCGGUGUAGCGGUGAAAUGCGUAGAUAUCGAGAGGAACACCUGCGGCGAAGGCGGGUUGCUGGGCUGACACUGACGCUGAGGCGCGAAAGCUAGGGGAGCGAACGGG